rnacentral:rRNA from 1 species
GAUGAAUGCUGGCGGCGUGCCUAACACAUGCAAGUCGAGCGAAUGGAUUGAGAGCUUGCUCUUAUGAAGUUAGCGGCGGACGGGUGAGUAACACGUGGGUAACCUGCCCAUAAGACUGGGAUAACUCCGGGAAACCGGGGCUAAUACCGGAUAACAUUUUGAACCGCAUGGUUCGAAAUUGAAAGGCGGCUUCGGCUGUCACUUAUGGAUGGACCCGCGUCGCAUUAGCUAGUUGGUGAGGUAACGGCUCACCAAGGCAACGAUGCGUAGCCGCCCUGAGAGGGUGAUCGGCCACACUGGGACUGAGACACGGCCCAGACUCCUACGGGAGGCAGCAGUAGGGAAUCUUCCGCAAUGGACGAAAGUCUGACGGAGCAACGCCGCGUGAGUGAUGAAGGCUUUCGGGUCGUAAAACUCUGUUGUUAGGGAAGAACAAGUGCUAGUUGAAUAAGCUGGCACCUUGACGGUACCUAACCAGAAAGCCACGGCUAACUACGUGCCAGCCGCCGCAGUAA